CGCUGGGACAGCCAACGCCAACGCCGACGGCCUAUCACGGAUGUGGUCGGCUUUUGCAGAAGCCUCACCGUGACGAGCCUACCUGAGCUAAUUCCCCGAUUGCCUCACCGUGGACUCCCUCACCACUCCGAGCACUGGAAAGCACUGAAGACAACGCUCCGCUGCACUCACCGGACUCACCGCUACACUUCCCCCGGACGCACCGCUGCAUUCCCCGCACGCCUCGAACUCACCGCGCACCUUCUGUGUAUUAUCUAAUAAAUACACCCUCCGGGGGUUUCACUGCA